CGUAGGGGGCUAGCGUUGUCCGGAUUUAUUGGGCGUAAAGAGCGUGUAGGCGGCCAGGUAGGUCUGCUGUGAAAACUCGAGGCUCAACCUCGAGACGUCGGCGGAAACCAUCUGGCUAGAGUCCGGAAGAGGAGAGUGGAAUUCCUGGUGUAGCGGUGAAAUGCGCAGAUAUCAGGAAGAACACCCGUGGCGAAGGCGGCUCUCUGGGACGGUACUGACGCUGAGACGCGAAAGCGUGGGGAGCGAACAGGAUUAGAUACCCUGGUAGUCCACGCCGUAAACGAUGGGUGCUAGGUGUGGGCGGUGUCGACUCCGUCCGUGCCGAAGCUAACGCAUUAAGCACCCCGCCUGGGGAGUACGGCCGCAAGGCUA
rnacentral:rRNA from 1 species